rnacentral:rRNA from 1 species
CGCGCACACACCGCCCGUCACUCUCCCCAAGCCAAUCAACAUCCCAUAAAUAAUACCCCUCAUCGGUAAAGGGGAGGCAAGUCGUAACAUGGUAAGUGUACCGGAAGGUGCACUUGGAAAAAU